AUAUUACUAAGGGGAGGAAAAGAAACUAACAAAGAUUGCCCCAGUAGCGGCGAGUGAAGAGGCAAGAGCCCAAGGGGAAAAUCUACGGCCAUCGGCCUAAGAAUUGUUCCCUCAACUGGUGGAUACCCGGCUCAAGGGCGAGGAACGCUCUGGAAUAGGCGACCAUAGAGGGCUAUAGUCCCGUACCUGCCUGGCAGCCGGUCUGAAACCAAGUCCGAGUAGGGCUGUUUGGUAAUGCAACUCGAAUAGGAGAUAUCCAUCUUCUAAGGCUAAAUAUGGGCGAGAGACCGAUAGCGCACAAGUA
rnacentral:rRNA from 1 species